UGAGUACGAGACGCUACGGCGUCGAAGCAGUCUAUGUCAUACUUCCAAGAAAAGCUUGCACUGUCAUAAACAAAUAAUGCCUGUACCAUAACCGACACAGGUGGGUAGGUAGAGUAUACUAAGGGGCGCGAGAUAACUCUCUCUAAGGAACUCGGCAAAAUGACUCCGUAACUUCGGGAGAAGGAGUGCCUUAUUCUUAAGGUUGCAAUAACAAGAUCCAAGCAACUGUUUAUCAAAAACACAGGUCUCCGCUAAGUCGUAAGACGAUGUAUGGGGGCUGACGCCUGCCCAGUGCCAGAAGGUUAAAGAAGUUGGUUAGCAUUCGCGAAGCUGAUAACUGAAGCCCUGGUGAACGGCGGCCGUAACGAUAACGGUCCUAAGGUAGCGAAAUUCCUUGUCGGGUAGUUCCGACCCGCACGAAAGGCGUAAUGAUUUGGAUACUGUCUCGGAGAGGGGCUCGGUGAAAUAGACUUGUCUGUGAAGAUGCGGACUACCUGCACCUGGACAGAAAGACCCUAUGAAGCUUUACUGUAACUUGAAAUUGAAAUUGGACUUUAUUUGCGCAGUAUAGGUGGGAGGCGUUGAGAAUAUUCUUGCGGGAAUAUUGGAGCCAUCAGUGAGAUACCACUCUUGUAAUGUUAGAUUUCUAACUUUGAAUCAUUAUCUGGUCAAAGGACGGUUUCAGGCGGGCAGUUUGACUGGGGCGGUCGCCUCCUAAAUGGUAACGGAGGCGCACAAAGGUUUCCUCUGAACGGGUAGAAAUCGUAUCUAGAGUGUAAAGGCAUAAGGAAGCUUGACUGUGAGACCUACAAGUCGAGCAGGGACGAAAGUCGGUCUUAGUGAUCUGACGGUGCUGAGUGGAAAGGCCGUCACUCAACGGAUAAAAGUUACUCUAAGGAUAACAGGCUGAUCUCCCCCAAGAGUUCACAUCGACGGGGAGGUUUGGCACCUCGAUGUCGGCUCAUCGCAUCCUGGGGCGGUAGUACGUCCCAAGGGUUGGGCUGUUCGCCCAUGAAAGCGGUACGCGAGCUGGGUUCAGAACGUCGUGAGACAGUUCGGUCCAUAUCCGGUGUAGGCGUUAGAGUAUUGAGAGGAGCCUUCUUUAGUACGAGAGGACCGAGAAGGACAUACCUCUGGUGUACCAGUUAUCGUGCCAACGGUUAACGCUGGGUAGCUAUGUAUGGAGAGGAUAACCGCUGAAAGCAUCUAAGUGGGAAGCCCACCUCAAGAUAAG
rnacentral:rRNA from 1 species